AGCUUGCUCCUUUGACGUUAGCGGCGGACGGGUGAGUAACACGUGGGUAACCUACCUAUAAGACUGGAAUAACUCCGGGAAACCGGGGCUAAUGCCGGAUAACAUUUAGAACCGCAUGGUUCUAAAGUGAAAGAUGGUUUUGCUAUCACUUAUAGAUGGACCCGCGCCGUAUUAGCUAGUUGGUAAGGUAACGGCUUACCAAGGCAACGAUACGUAGCCGACCUGAGAGGGUGAUCGGCCACACUGGAACUGAGACACGGUCCAGACUCCUACGGGAGGCAGCAGUAGGGAAUCUUCCGCAAUGGGCGAAAGCCUGACGGAGCAACGCCGCGUGAGUGAUGAAGGUCUUCGGAUCGUAAAACUCUGUUAUUAGGGAAGAACAAAUGUGUAAGUAACUGUGCACGUCUUGACGGUACCUAAUCAGAAAGCCACGGCUAACUACGUGCCAGCAGCCGCGGUAAUACGUAGGUGGCAAGCGUUAUCCGGAAUUAUUGGGCGUAAAGCGCGCGUAGGCGGUUUCUUAAGUCUGAUGUGAAAGCCCACGGCUCAACCGUGGAGGGUCAUUGGAAACUGGGAAACUUGAGUGCAGAAGAGGAAAGUGGAAUUCCAUGUGUAGCGGUGAAAUGCGCAGAGAUAUGGAGGAACACCAGUGGCGAAGGCGACUUUCUGGUCUGUAACUGACGCUGAUGUGCGAAAGCGUGGGGAUCAAACAGGAUUAGAUACCCUGGUAGUCCACGCCGUAAACGAUGAG
rnacentral:rRNA from 1 species